rnacentral:rRNA from 1 species
AUUGAACGCUGGCGGCAGGCUUAACACAUGCAAGUCGAACGAGUGGCGGACGGGUGAGUAAUGCUUGGGAAUCUGGCUUAUGGAGGGGGAUAACUACUGGAAACGGUAGAUAAUACCGCAUACCAUCAGAUGUGCCCAGCUGGGCUGAGCUAGUAGGUGGGGUAACGGCUCACCUAGGCGACGAUCCCUAGCUGGUCUGAGAGGAAGAACAGCCACACUGGAACUGAGACACGGUCCAGACUCCUACGGGAUGCAGCAGUGGGGAAUAUUGCACAAUGGGCGCAAUCCUGAUGCAGCCAUGCCGCGUGUGUGAAGAAGGCCUUCGGGUUGUAAAGCACUUUCAGCGGGGAGGCGUUACCCGCAGAAGAAGCACCGGCUAACUCCGUGCCAGCCGCCGCGGUAAUUC